ensembl:lncRNA
CCCCCUAACACUAGGGACCCCCCCCUAACACUAGGGGCCUCUCCAUAACACUAGGGCCCCCCCCUAACACUAGGGGCCUCUCCAUAACACUAGGGCCCCCCCCCUAACACUAGGGGCCUCUCCCUAACACUAGGGGGGCCCCCCUAACAAUAGGGACCCCCCCUCCCUAACACUAGGGGCCUCUCCAUAACACUAGGGCCCCCCCCCUAACACUAGGGACGCCCCCUCCCUAACAGUAGGGGCCUCUCCCUAACCCUGCGUUCACACCAAAAGAUGCAAAAAGUUGACGCGCGGCACGAUCCCAUUCAAAGUGAAUGUAGAGACGCGUUGCUGCUUUGCUGCCGCAGCAUUUGCUGCCGAGAAAACCGGCAGCAAAAUUUGAUUUGCGGCGCGUCAAAAUCUGAUUUGAAGCGCGGCAUGCCCGUGCCCGCUGCCGGGCACGGGCGGCGGGCACGUUCACGUAUUUUGCGGCGCGUCAAAUGCUGCUCGAGUUGAAAUAUUUCAACUUUUCGGCAGCAAACGCGUGAUGACAGCCAAUCAGCGUUCAACAGCGUUGCCACUGAGGCGUUGCCACUGAGUGACAUGCCGUAACAGCCAAUCAGUGUUACUCCCUUGGAGUGACCUAGAGUUCACUACCGUUACAUUUAUUUAGCAACUCGAAAAAACCCACAAAUCAGCUUUCUGUAGUGUAGUUGUGUUUACAGUUAAACUAAACUAUGAGUAUGCUAAAGGGCUAGAAAACAACCCCAAACAAAACCCAGUUGGGUGCCAGGCAGCACCAGCCUUCCAGGCUCCGAAUGGUCUCAUGAACCCAUAAACGACGGGCAUUCCGACGUCUCUCCCUCUUCCACAACAGGUAAAGACAUGCAAUGCUCGUAAUGUCGGCCAUGGUUGUGAAUGAAUUCAGAAGCACCGCGGGCAGAACUUGCCGUGCUGCGAAACUUCCCGCGCUGCAAAACUGCGGCGCAGCAAAACUUUUGCUGCGCGUCAAAACUUUUGCUGCGCCGCAAAACUUGAUUUGCUGCGCCGCAAAACUUCGGCGUCAACGCGUUCGGGCAGCAAAUGCAUCUUUUGGUGUGAACGCAGGGUAACACUAGGGACCCCCCCUAACACUAGGGACCCCCCAAAACACUAGGGGCCCCUCCCUAACACCAGGGACCCCCCCUAACACUAGGGACCCCCCCUAACACUAGGGGCCCCUCCCUAACACUAGGGGCCCCUCCCUAACACUAGGGACCCCCCCUAACACUAGGGACCCCCCCUAACACUAGGGCCCCCCUAACACUAGGGGCAUCUCCCUAACACUAGUGGCCCCUCCCUAGCAAUAGGGACCCCUUCCUAACUCUAUGCACUCACUACCGCCCCCCCGCCCCCGUGGGGCCCCCUCACUGUGAAGACCUCCCUGUGGAUCCUGGACCGCGUUGUGACGCUGUGUGAUCAGGAUCGUGAUCACUGUGCAUCGCCUCUUCCCAGCCCUGUCAGCGCUGUGUGACAUGCCAGACGCAGAAGCCCUGCAUGGACAGGACGUUCGUAACGAUGUUUAUUCACUUACUCUUAAAGUUAACUCCGGCAAAAAUGUAACCCAUGGUCUUUUUCUGAAUGAAAAAGUAUCAAAAAAGCCAUGAUCCAGACAUUUUGUUUAUUGAUCAACCAGUAGAGAGCUUGCCCGGAGCCAUGGUAACAGCCCAGAGGCUAACAGUGGGCUAGGGGCGGUGCGGCUAACGCUUACACUACUACUAACAUUGCUCAAAACAGCACCAAACCUCUGCAGUAGCAUGUUGAGGGUCCAUACACAUAAAACAAAGCAGCAACAACGUAGUUAGCGAACCCAGAGUUAAUUAAAAAUACUGUUAUAAAACAGACUUCUAAAAUUGACCUCCUGUAAACAUGGACUUACCUGUAAGUCACAGUAUUGUAAACUAGUAUUCCUUUUUUAAUAAACUCUAGGUUCGCUAACUAAGUUGUUGGUGCUUAGUUUUCGGUGUAGGUACCCUAGUCAUGCUACUGCAGAGGUUUGGUGCCAUUUCGAACAAUAUUGGUGGUUAAAAAAGUACUUAUUUGGAGGCAUUCGGCGCAAUGCACUGUAAGCCAUUCGGGCUGUUAAAGCUGCUCCGGUAGAUCAACGGAAAACAACGUCUGGACGGCUUAUUUGAUGUGUUUAAUGCAGAAAAAUACCUUGGGUUCAAUUUUUGCCGGACUUGCACUUGAAAAGCCAAAUGUAUGCCCUUCAUCCAGUUAGUUUUUAUGUGAGCCGAUAUUCAAUUCAACCCCAUUAGCACGAUGGAUGUGGGGGCUAGCGUGGCACAUAUAGUCCAUCUCUGACAUGCUCACUAUGUUUGAAGCUCUUGAACCUAACUGCAAUUGACCGCACUCCUUUUUAUUAUCUGCUCCGCUCUGAACAGAAAAACCAAAAUUUGCACUGAGAGUUGAUUUCCUGCUGAAGGGUUAGGUUGCUGGUGAGGUGAGUUUGAAUCAGGAGUGAGGAAGGAAGGGAGGAGUGAGCAGGGGAGGAGUGAGGAGGGGACAGCACUAGUAAGAUAGACCGGUAAGAGAACGGGUUUGAUGGACAAAGUUUUAUAAUAAAAAAAUAAAUAAUACAUUUCGGUCAUUGUGAGAGACGGUCUUGAGACUGUGAUAGAGACACUAAAUAGAGCAGCAAAGUGCAGCCUAUCACCCACGUAAUAGCACCCUGCUGGUGUCAAACCAAUAAAGUGCAUCCUCGGUAGCUACAAUGGGAACGAGCCAGUGAGCCGCAGAGUAGCUUAGACCUCAACACUUUAAGGCUGAUUCUGUGUAUCAAGCCCUAUUCAUAGUCCAGUGUGCACAAAGCCUUUGAACAGGUCCACUAAUACUAACCGCAGUAGGAGUGAGCUUCAUGCUGCUUGAAUAACGACACGUUGAUUCAGUGUCAGUGUUUGGUUUGAACAGCCAUGCAGAGCUAGAAGCCUCGUACGUUCUCCUGUUUAUCGUAGCUUAACGGUAAAGUCAGUAGCCUGUCGCCCCAAAUCUGAAUAAACCUUUGAAAUUGACAAUUCCAAAACCAAAACAUGCCUUUAGUCGAGCAGUGUAGCAACCUGUGCCCCUUGGUGUGACCCUCUCCUGGGGUCAGAGUUAGGGUUCAGUCCGGCAGUCCUUUCAGGGUGCCAUGUACAAUGUUUUUCUACUUUGUUGUCUGUUGUGGAAGGUUUGCAUGCGGGCCGACAUCUGUUGAUGUGUGUUUGCGUUUUCUAGUUUUUUUUUUUUUUUUAUGAACUCGUAAGAAUGGCUUCCUGCUGGAGAGGCUGACCUGCUGGUGAGAACACACUGGUGUUAGUGGUGUUUCACCACGCAGAAUCUGAGCCAACGUGUUCCUGCUGGCCCUCAAAGCUCCUGGCCCGGCCGUAGCCCUGUGGUAACGUGUUUUAUCUUCAACCCAACAUGCUGUCUGCCUCCAGACUGCAGCGCUCAGACCUCACGGUUCUCCUGAUGCAGCCGCUCCUCGUUGGUUCUUUUAUGCAAAAGAGAAGCUCCUCCUUUAACCGCAGACUCUAGACUGGCCCAGACUGGAUCUGAGAUCUCAGAGGGGGAUGGAAAGAUUGGAUUGUGACCGAUUCUGUUCCACAAUAAGGAAAAAUAUAAGUAUUUGUAUUUUAAGUCCGACAGUCUUAUUUUGAACCAAGGGGGUGGUGGGGAAGAGCAGGGUUAGGGUCAGGGUCAGGGUUAGGGUUAGGGUUAGGGUUAGGGUUAGGGUUAGGCUGCUGGACGAUGACUUGAGGAGCGAAGGGAGUCCCUUUGUACUGGCUAGUGUCACAAACAUUGUAUUACUGUGCAUUGUGUUCUGAUGUGGACCUGUUUUGUUCCUUUGAGUACGUUAUCUUCUCUUACAUUGUUUCAUUUCCAGCCCAAAAGAAAAAAUGUUUGGAAAUAGAAAAUGAGAAGAAGCUCUGCAAAUGCUAAUCGGAGGACACUGGUACUCACAAGUGAUCAAUGAUCAUUGUUAAUCCUAACCCUGAACCUAACCCUGACCCUAACCCUGACCCUAAUCCUACCCCCAACCCCUGACCCCAACCUUAACCCUCACUACUCAGCCUCACAGAAAGAGAUAUUUUUUUUCUAUUUUCAUGAAUCUUCCUUCACUCCAGAAACGUAACCCCUUUAUUUUACCUUCACAUACUAAAUAAGUACUCCUUAGUAUUCCUUUGUAAACACAAAGACUGAACAGAAGAUGCACUGACUGAUAAAACACUGCUGCUAUUGGCCACCGGGGACAGAUCGUAUCUCCGCGACGUCCUCACUGAAGGCCCGUGGACCGUGGUGGAGGACGGCUGAUGUCAGGGGGGGACUCAGACUGUCCCGAUGCAAACGGCCACACACUGCUGGAGAAGUAGCCCCUGUGGACUCCUGAGUACUACAGCAGGCUUUAAACUAAACCCACUGUUUCCUCAUCCUGUGUGUUCAUGAUCCACAGAACAACGAGAGGGAGACAGAGAGAGGGAGAGAAAGAAAGUCUCUCUCUCUCUCUCUCUCUCUCUCUCUGUCUCUUCUUUUUCUGAAAGUCUUUGAACGAUCUUACCGGUCACUGUGGGAAUCUUAAAAAGAAAAAGUCUGUUGAAUACAGUGUUGAUUUUGGAAUCAGUUGUCUUUUUGUUGCCUUGACGAUAUGUUUUACAUAAAUGACUGAUUUUAGUCGAUGUUGUUCCAUGUUAAGUCUUUUCAUCCAACUAGUUCAAUUAAAACAUUAAAAGUUCUGCU